AGAGUUUGAUCCUGGCUCAGAUUGAACGCUGGCGGAAUGCUUUACACAUGCAAGUCGAACGGCAGCACGGAGAGCUUGCUCUCUGGUGGCGAGUGGCGAACGGGUGAGUAAUAUAUCGGAACGUGUCCAAUAAUGGGGGAUAACGAGUCGAAAGAUUCGCUAAUACCGCAUACGCCCUACGGGGAAAAGCAGGGGAUCGUAAGACCUUGCGUUAAUGGAGCGGCCGAUAUCUGAUUAGCUUGUUGGUGAGGUAAAGGCUCACCAAGGCGACGAUCAGUAGCUGGUUUGAGAGAACGGCCAGCCACACUGGAACUGAGACACGGUCCAGACUCCUACGGGAGGCAGCAGUGGGGAAUUUUGGACAAUGGGGGCAACCCUGAUCCAGCCAUUCCGCGUGAGUGAAGAAGGCCUUCGGGUUGUAAAGCUCUUUCGCAAGGGAAGAAAACUUAUGAUCGAAUAAAUCAUGAGGUUGACGGUACCUUGAUAAGAAGCACCGGCUAACUACGUGCCAGCAGCCGCGGUAAUACGUAGGGUGCGAGCGUUAAUCGGAAUUACUGGGCGUAAAGCGUGCGCAGGCGGUUUUGUAAGUCGGAUGUGAAAUCCCCGGGCUCAACCUGGGAACUGCGUUCGAAACUGCAAGGCUAGAGUGUGUCAGAGGGGGGUAGAAUUCCACGUGUAGCAGUGAAAUGCGUAGAGAUGUGGAGGAAUACCAAUGGCGAAAGCA
rnacentral:rRNA from 1 species